GAGUAACGCGUAAGAAUCUACCUAGUAGUGGGGGACAACUCGAGGAAACUCGAGCUAAUACCGCAUACGCCCUACGGGGGAAAGCGGGGGACCUUCGGGCCUCGCGCUAUUAGAUGAGCUUGCGUUGGAUUAGCUUGUUGGUGAGGUAAUGGCUCACCAAGGCUACGAUCCAUAGCUGGUCUGAGAGGAUGAUCAGCCACACCGGGACUGAGACACGGCCCGGACUCCUACGGGAGGCAGCAGUGGGGAAUAUUGCGCAAUGGGCGAAAGCCUGACGCAGCCAUGCCGCGUGUGUGAAGAAGGCCUUAGGGUUGUAAAGCACUUUCAAUUGGGAGGAAAAGUUAACGACUAAUACUCGUUAGCCUUGACGUUACC
rnacentral:rRNA from 1 species